rnacentral:rRNA from 1 species
UACGGAGGGUGCAAGCGUUAUCCGGAUUCACUGGUUUAAAGGGUGCGUAGGUGGGCAGGUAAGUCAGUGGUGAAAUCUCCGGGCUUAACCCGGAAACUGCCAUUGAUACUAUCAGUCUUGAAUACCGUGGAGGUAAGCGGAAUAUGUCAUGUAGCGGUGAAAUGCUUAGAUAUGACAUAGAACACCAAUUGCGAAGGCAGCUUACUACCCGAAUAUUGACACUGAGGCAACGAA